rnacentral:lncRNA from 1 species
CUACAUCCAAAUGAUUUUCAAAAUCCAACUAACUUUAAAUAAAAUAAUCUUAUCAUGAAGAUGAUUUUUGCCCUCUUCCAAACUUAUUGUCCUCUGGAAUUAAUUAAGAGGAAUAUUACAAGUGUUGCAGAGCUUGAUAAAAAUAAAAAUUAUAAUUUGAUCAUCUUUAUCUAACACCUCCAAAACAAUUGCACCUAUGUUGUGCACCACCUACACAUUCAAAGCACUUUUUGGAUGCAGUGAACAAUUAGCAUCAUUCGAACCUUGUAGUGCCUCAUGAUUACCUAAUGUUUGCUUUCUUGCCUCUUUAUUCGACUCCACCAAAGCAAUUUUACCCACCGAAGCAAUUUCACCAUCAUCACGAAUAAACGACAUGCCAAUCGAAUAAGACAAUUUCAUCCGUGCCAAAGAGAGAAAGCCCUAGCUAGAAAUCAACACGUGAAGAUAAACUUUAUAGCUAAUGAAUUUAUUGCAAAUGUUUGUUCCAUAUGUCACUUAAUUAUUGUUUGAUUC